GCGCCCGAGGCUUGUCCGAGGGCAGUUCCGCUAGAGGGUCAUCGCGGCCCCCCACCGAUGCGCUCCGCGCCGCUCCCGCCGCGCCGCGAGCUCGGCUCGAGUGAAAGAGGCGGUCCCGGCGGGCCUCCUCCUCCUCGCGAGGGCGAGGGCGCCCCAAGGGUGGGCUGAAAUGGAUGCAACGGGGCCGCCGCGGCGGCGCAGCCCGCGAUCGGGUGACGUCCCGGACAGCCGUCCGGGACUCUUUCUAAGUGCGCGGCUGCGUCCCCCAGUCGGUUCCCUGGCUCGUGCAGGUCGAGCGCGCGCCCCCCGCGGCGCGCGCGUCACGCAUCAGACCUCUAAUCGGAAAAGACCACCCGCUGAGUUUAAGCAUAUCACUAAGCGGAGGAGAAGAAACUAACCAGGAU
rnacentral:rRNA from 1 species